rnacentral:lncRNA from 1 species
AAAAAAAAAAAAGGAGAAAACGAAUAAAUGUACACAAGUCUCUCUUCCAAAAAUAGCAUAAAGCGAACUAUUCUUUCGCUUUAGUAAAGUGCUCUUCAUGCCAAGUGGCAUACUCUUAUUUUUGGAAGGUUCUGCCUUAAAGUGGGACCCAAAAAAUAUAGCAUAAAAUAAAAAUUUACGUGUUACACUUAAUUUGGGCUU